UACGUAGGGUGCAAGCGUUGUCCGGAAUUAUUGGGCGUAAAGAGCUCGUAGGCGGUUCGUCACGUCGGCUGUGAAAACCCGGAGCUCAACUCCGGGCCUGCAGUCGAUACGGGCGGACUAGAGUUCGGCAGGGGAGACUGGAAUUCCUGGUGUAGCGGUGAAAUGCGCAGAUAUCAGGAGGAACACCGGUGGCGAAGGCGGGUCUCUGGGCCGAUACUGACGCUGAGGAGCGAAAGCGUGGGGAGCGAACAGG
rnacentral:rRNA from 1 species